CUUUUUGUUCAUGAUAUUAAGAAUCUUUCUUCUAAGACUUAUGACAUUUCAAAUUUCAAGUUUAAGAACAACCUUCUCUAUUUUGAAGGAUGCCUAUAUGUUUCAAAAAUAAAAAUAUAUUUACGUAUUCUUCAAGCACGUCACGACUUUCUAGCAAAAUGAUAUUUUGGAUAUAACAAGACUUUAGAGCUUUAUAUCUAGAGAUUUUUGAUAGCUACAAAUGUAGAAGGUGAUAAAAGACUUUGUACAAUCAUGUGAUACUUAUUCAAGAUCAAAAACUCCU
rnacentral:lncRNA from 1 species